rnacentral:rRNA from 1 species
CCUACGGGAGGCAGCAGUGAGGAAUAUUGGUCAAUGGGCGUAAGCCUGACCCAGCCACGCCGCGUGAGGGAUGAAGGUUCUCUGGAUCGUAAACCUCUUUUAGAAGGGAAUAAAGUGUGGGACGUGUCCUAUUUUGUGUUUACCUUAUGAAUAAGGCUCGGCUAACUCCGUGCCAGCAGCCGCGGUAAUACGGAGGAUCCGAGCGUUAUCCGGAUCUAUUGUGUUUAAAGGGUGCGUAGGCGGCCUUUUAAGGUAGGGGUGAAAGUCUGUGGCUCAACCAUCGAAUUGCCGUUGAAACUGGGAGGCUUGAGUAUGUUUGAGGCAGGCGGAAUGCUUGGUGUAGCGGUGAAAUGCUUAGAUAUCGCGCAGAACCCCGAUUGUGAAGGCAGCCUGCCAGGCCAUGACUGACGCUGAUGCACGAAAGCGUGGGGAUCAAACAGGAUUAGAUACCCCAGUAGUC